UGGGGAAUAUUGGACAAUGGGCGCAAGCCUGAUCCAGCCAUGCCGCGUGAGUGAUGAAGGCCUUAGGGUUGUAAGGCUCUUUCGGCGGGGACGAUAAUGACGGUACCCGCAGAAGAAGCCCCGGCUAACUUCGUGCCAGCAGCCGCGGUAAUACGAAGGGGGCUAGCGUUGUUCGGAAUCACUGGGCGUAAAGGGCGCGUAGGCGGCCAUAUAAGUCGGGGGUGAAAGCCUGUGGCUCAACCACAGAAUUGCCUUCGAUACUGUAUGGCUCGAGACCGGAAGAGGUAAAGUGGAACCUGCGAGUGUAGAGGUGAAAUUCGUAGAUAUUCGCAAGAACACCAGUGGCGAAGGCGGCUUACUGGUCCGGUUCUGACGCUGAGGCGCGAAAGCGUGGGGAGCAAACAGGAUUAGAUACCCUGGUAGUCCACGCCCUAAACGACUGGGUACUAGACGUCGGGAAGCUUGUCUUCUUGGUGUCGCAGCUAACGCAA
rnacentral:rRNA from 1 species